rnacentral:rRNA from 1 species
CGAAUGGGGCAACCUAUCUAAUUGAAGAUUAGAUGAUUCAAAUUUAUUUGAAUAGCAAACCUGGUGAACUGAAACAUCUAAGUAACCAGAGGAAGAGAAAACAAUAGUGAUUUCCUGAGUAGUGGCGAGCGAAAAGGAAAUAGCCUAAACCUAAUAUGUUUCGGCAUUUUAGGGGUUGUAGGACCACAUUAUCUGACAUAAAAUGAACAAGAAUUUUUUGGAAAAUUAAGCCAUAGAUGGUGAAAGCCCAGUAUUGGUAAGUUUUAUUGAAGUAGUGGUAUCCUGAGUAGGACGGAACAGGUGAAAUUCCGUUUGAAUCUGCCGGCACCAUCCGGUAAGGCUAAAUACGACUGAGAGACCGAUAGUGAACUAGUACCGUGAGGGAAAGGUGAAAAGUACCCUGAAUAAGGGGGUGAAAUAGUACCUGAAACCUUGCGCUUACAAGCGGUCGGAGGUUCUUCGUGAACUGACGGCGUGCCUUUUGCAUAAUGAGCCUACGAGUUACUCUUCACUGGCAAGGUUAAAAAUUUUUGAUUUGGAGCCGGAGCGAAAGCGAGUCUUAACAGGGCGUUCAGUCAGUGGAGGUAGACGCGAAACCUAGUGAUCUACCCAUGGUCAGGGUGAAUUUAUGGUAAAACACAAUGGAGGCCCGAACCAGUAUACGUUGAAAAGUGUUUGGAUGAACUGUGGGUAGGGGUGAAAGGCCA